UACGUAGGGAGCAAGCGUUGUCCGGAAUCAUUGGGCGUAAAGCGCGUGUAGGCGGCUAGGUAAGUCUGCUCUGAAAGCCCGGGGCUCAACCCCGGGAGGCGGGUGGAUACUGUCUAGCUCGAGUCCGGAAGAGGAGUGUGGAAUUCCUGGUGUAGCGGUGAAAUGCGCAGAUAUCAGGAGGAACACCCAUGGCGAAGGCAGCACUCUGGGACGUGACUGACGCUGAGACGCGAAAGCGUGGGGAGCAAACAGG
rnacentral:rRNA from 1 species